rnacentral:lncRNA from 1 species
CGCCGCGGUUGCUAGCUAACGGCGCGCCGACGACGCCGGCAGCGCUGAGGGGUACGGGCUGCGGGCCUGGUUCCGCGGACCCGAGAGCCCCCGGCCCUGCCUGAGACCCCCGCGACUCGCCGCCCUCGAGGGCACUGGGACCUUCGGCGCAGGCGGAGCCGUAGAAGACCAGCGGCCGCAGCUGCCAAGCACUCUCUGCACAGCAGACCCCCGAAGCUGCCUCUUAGCUCCAACUCUUUCCUGCCUGUUCUUCCUCGAACCUACUCCAAUCAGACUUCCACCCGGCCACUUCUCUGAAGCUCUUUAUCAAAGUCAUCCUCAACCUCGAUGCUGCGAAAUCCAGCGACCAGGCUCUCAUCUCCUCCUCCUGUCAGCAGUAGGUGACCCAGCCUUUCAGAGACUUCCAUCUCAGCCUAAACUCUGAGGCUUCAAACCUGUUUACCUGAUCUUUACCAUCUGGACCACUAACAAAUCUCACAUUCAACAUGUCCAAAACCACACUCUCCAUUUUCUCCCAUAAAGCCUCC